UGCUUGUGACGAAUCUGCUGUGCACAUAUGCAAACUUCUAUUGGAUUAUGACCCGGGAAUUCCUCAAGGCCUCCUUCAAUCUUUAGUUUUGCCUUUCAAGGAUGAAAUGGAAAGGCUUCUUCGGGUAGAGAAAUAUCUCUAUUCCCGUCAAGCGCGAGCCAGAUUUUCUGCUUCGAGUAUAUUCAACGAUUUUGGCCUUCAAUAUUCCUUUUCUGUCAAGUACUUCGAUCAAUGUCAUGAGCUCCAAAACACUCUGGAGGAAAUUGAGAGGUGGGCAACAAGGGAGAGACAGAUUAAACGCGAAGAACUCCGACGAAAAAAGGAAAACUACAACGACCUAAUGCGAAUCUACAAUGAAACCGAGUGCGAUUACAAUGAAGCCAUUCCCCAUUACUCCAAUAAUUUCAGUGAACAACAGCACAGCCCCAUCUGCAAAAGGUGUAGCUACCGAAAUAGAGCUAGCUCCUUAACGAUUAAUAUCCAUGAGUGGCCAUUGCCUAAAAACGUCUUGCAAGCUCGAUCCACAAUUUUUGAACUUAAGGUACCUCCAUUUUUUGGCCGUUGGCGCGACAUUACUAUCUUCGUAUUGUUAGAUGUUUUAAAAACCGAAUACUCUUCAAAAUCUAACCCGCGAUCGCAUCAUCCUUUACGCACAUAUGCGGGUCUUUUUUCGUUCUUUAGCCCGUUCAGUGCGACACAACGUGUUUGUCUUUUGUCGGAGAACAAACCCCACAUAGCUACACAUCGCCGUGGCAAGAAAAUCUCUGUUGCUACAGAAAGGGAAGUUUGUCCUGACAACGGUAUGCAUUAUCGUUAUUUUGACAAUACAUUGCGUCUUUUUGUGGCAGGAAUCAGUGUUGGGGAGAAAGCUUCUGAGAGUUUCAUGUACACACUUCCUGCGCAGUCGCUAUCUCUUCAGAAAUUUCUUCAUCGCCCGUUCACAAGACCCAAUGGGCUACCACCCAACACUGUCAUAGCCAACCAGUCCGAUUGUCCUGCCCACAUGUCGUUGGAUGAAUACAAGGCACUAUGCACAAUACCUCUCGGCUGUCGAAUUCAGUGGCAAAAUAUCCUAUUGCAACUUUCCACAUCCUCUAUUGAUUUCAAAAAGAUAGAGACAGGUCUGGUAGUUCUUCAAUCAAUCUACCAAGCCGGACCUUCCUGCCACAGGAAUGUCCUUAGAGAUGGCCAUGAGAUCGUUGAUGACGACACUUUCGCCAUCGUUCUUCUAGCAAGUCUAUUUGAUGCCUUACGGAGAGUUAGGGGGAACUGGGAAUCUUCUUGGGCACUGAGCACGUUUACGUCUUUGGCUAGGCGUUUGCUAACAUUAACUUCUACACAGCAAGUUAAGGAACAGUGUCUUGCCUAUUUGGCUUCUAUCCGAGUUACUACUGUCGACUGGCUCAAAUCUCUCAAAGACUACGCACAUCGGACAGCCAACAACAGCCACAGAGUAGACUUAACAUCAAAAGCCGUGGAGAUCGCUCUUAUUUAUACUGAUUCAUGCAAUAUCGAUCAGGGAUAUCUCGAUAAUCUAUUUUCCGAUCCAAAAACUGUUUCGGACUUCAUACAGUGCUCCAUUGUUAUUCAACAAGGUAGCAAUCAUCUUAGCAAGGCAUCCGAUCCCGCGAUCGCAUUACUAUGCCAGCGCCGACUAUGCCUUUCAUACCGAUGUUACCCUAGUCUCGCAAAGCAAAUUGUAGCAGAUAGAUGGCCAUUAGACGACGCCAUAAUGAAAUCCUGGUCAGCUUAUCGGCCAGGAGACGCCUGGCAAGUAGCCUCAGAAGAGCUCGACUAUUGGUUGCUCAGCAAGACAGCACCAGAAGGGAAUACCCAUUCACUUCCAAUUCAUUUCAAUCUCUUGACCGGCGAGUUGCUCGUAAACGGCCAUCCACUGUCCCGUCUACCUGCGA
rnacentral:sRNA from 1 species